AUGGGGGCGGUGCCGUCGACGCCGAGGCUGGGCGAGGCGGGCUCCGCGUCGCCGGGGGAGGCGCCCUCGAUGCCGAGGCUGCGCGAGGCGGGCUCCGCAUCGCUGGGGGCGGCGGAGCAGAUGUUCGCCGCGCUCGUCGGUGACAAGGCCUACCCGAUCUCCUCCGAGUUCUGGAGGCAGCUGCUCGAGCUGCCCCUCACCCUGCAGGGGCUGCGGGACCGCGUGCUGCAGGCCUGCCACCCCUUCGCACAAAACAACUACCAUACGACGCAUCUUGCAAAGAUCUUGAUCCAUUUGGUUUGGUGUUUGCAAGAGUGCACAUCGGCUUCUUCUGUAUCUUCUAGCGUCUAUAGAAAGGCUAUUAAUGCUGCCUACAUCUCAUCCAUAUUUCUCAAGCUCAUUACUGAGAACGCCAAGGCAGAUAAUUGGCAAGAGCUAUGCCUUGACACGAACAAAGAUGAAAAGGGGCUGGAAAAUUUUCCUUCUGACCAAAGUGUGGAGUAUUUUCUGAUGAAAGGGGUGCCGAACUACAUUGGUAGUGUAGAUAUAAGUCCGGAGUCAUGCUACCUACAUCAGGAGCUUCUAAACUUGAUGCUAGUCCUUUUGUCGACUCAGUUAUGUUCUGGACCAUCUCCAGAACCAAAAGAUGUGCAUCCUUUCAUUGAUGCGGCUAUGCUUCAGGAUGCUUCCAUAGUAGCUUCCGUUGUUCAAAAGUUGCUACUUAAUUUUGUAAGACGGCCACAAAUUCCUUCAAAUGGUUCACACCCUGUUUUCUCUGAUGAUGGUGGGCCUGGUGUUAUGCAACGAGUUGGUUCAGCAGCUGGUAAUGCGGGUUAUAUUUUCCACAGGACAUGCUUAUAG
rnacentral:rRNA from 1 species